GUGAGGAAUAUUGGUCAAUGGGCGCAAGCCUGAACCAGCCAUGCCGCGUGCAGGAAGACGGUCCUAUGGAUUGUAAACUGCUUUUAUUUGGGAAUAAACUCCGGUACGUGUACCGUCCUGAAGGUACCAAAUGAAUAAGCACCGGCUAACUCCGUGCCAGCAGCCGCGGUAAUACGGAGGGUGCAAGCGUUAUCCGGAAUCAUUGGGUUUAAAGGGUCCGCAGGCGGUCUUAUAAGUCAGUGGUGAAAGCCUACAGCUCAACUGUAGAACUGCCAUUGAUACUGUAGGACUUGAAUUCGAUCGAAGUGGGCGGAAUGUGACAUGUAGCGGUGAAAUGCUUAGAUAUGUCACAGAACACCGAUAGCGAAGGCAGCUCACUAGGUCUGGAUUGACGCUCAGGGACGAAAGCGUGGGGAGCAAACAGGAUUAGAAACCCGGGUAGUCC
rnacentral:rRNA from 1 species